AACGAACGCUGGCGGCAUGCCUAACACAUGCAAGUCGAACGAGACCUUCGGGUCUAGUGGCGCACGGGUGCGUAACGCGUGGGAACCUGCCCUUAGGUUCGGAAUAACUCCCCGAAAGGGGUGCUAAUACCGGAUAAUGUCUUCGGACCAAAGAUUUAUCGCCUUUGGAUGGGCCCGCGUUGGAUUAGCUAGUUGGUAGGGUAAAAGCCUGCCAAGGCGACGAUCCAUAGCUGGUCUGAGAGGAUGAUCAGCCACACUGGGACUGAGACACGGCCCAGACUCCUACGGGAGGCAGCAGUGGGGAAUAUUGGACAAUGGGCGAAAGCCUGAUCCAGCAAUGCCGCGUGAGUGAUGAAGGCCUUAGGGUUGUAAAGCUCUUUUACCCGGGAUGAUAAUGACAGUACCGGGAGAAUAAGCUCCGGCUAACUCCG
rnacentral:rRNA from 1 species